CCUACCAAGGCGAUGAUGCAUAGCCGAGUUGAGAGACUGAUCGGCCACGAUUGGGACCGAGACACGGCCCAAAACUCCUACGGGGAGGCAGCAGUAGGGAAUCUUCCACAAUGGACGCAAGUCUGAUGGAGCAACGCCGCGUGAGUGAAGUAAGGGUUUCGGCUACGUAAAGCUCUGUUGUUGGUGAAGAAGGACAGGGGUAGUAACUGACCUUUGUUUGACGGUAAUCAAUUAGAAAGUCACGGCUAACUACGUGCCAGCAGCCGCGGUAAU
rnacentral:rRNA from 1 species